rnacentral:rRNA from 1 species
AGAGUUUGAAUCAUGGGCUCAGGAUCAACGCUGGCGGCGUGCUUAACACAUGCAAGUCGAGCGCGAAAGCGGCUUCGGUCGUUAGUAGAGCGGCGGACGGGUGAGGAACACGUGGGUAACCUACCCUCGGGUGGGGAAUAACCCAGGGAAACCUGGGCUAAUUCCGCAUAACAUCUUUAGCUCGCAAGAGUUUUGGAUCAAAGCUGGGGACCCUUCGGGGCCUGGCGCCUGAGGAGGGGCCCGCGGCCGAUUAGCUUGUUGGUGAGGUAACGGCUCACCAAGGCUCCGAUCGGUAGCCGGCCUAAGAGGGCGGACGGCCACACUGGGACUGAGACACGGCCCAGACUCCUACGGGAGGCAGCAGUGGGGAAUUUUUGUCAAUGGGGGAAACCCUGAACAAGCAACGCCGCGUGGAGGACGAAGACCUUCGGGUUCGUAAACUCCUGUCGGAGGGGAC